UUAAGUUCAGCGGGUAUCCCUACCUGAUCCGAGGUCAAACUUGAAAAUGAAUAGGUGUUGCGGCAGCACUACGGCACGGCCCGAUGCGAGAAGUAACCACUACGCAGGGGGCAGCAUACACGUGUACGCCGAUAGAAUUAGGGGCUGCAGCGAGUGCUGCAUGCUCCAAAACCAGAACCUUUACCGCUGAGCGGCAAGGC
rnacentral:misc_RNA from 1 species